AUGGCUGGCGAAGGUGAGCUGAAGCUGUUGAGUACGUGGGCGAGCCCCUGGGCUUCUAGGGUGAAACUCGCGCUCCACCUCAAGGGCUUGAGCUACGAGAACAUCGAGCAGGACCUCAACAGCAAGAGUGACCUCCUCCUCGCGUUCAACCCAGUGCACAAGAAGGUGCCCGUGCUCAUCCACAACGGCAAGCCAAUCUGUGAGUCGGUCGUCAUAAUUGAGUACAUCGACGAGGCCUAUGGCAGCACCGGCCCCUCCCUCCUACCCACUGACCCCUACGAGCGUGCCGUUGCUCGGUUUUGGGUAGACUACAUUGACCACAAGCUAGUCAUCCCGUGGAAAGUGGCGUUCACAGCCAACACUGAGGAGGAUAAGACUGAAGCGAUAAAGCAAAUAUUAGUGGGGGUGAAUGUGCUAGAGGGGGCUCUCAAGGAAUGCUCCAACGGGAAGCCCUUCUUUGGAGGUGAUAACGUUGGAUACGUGGAUAUAGCACUAGGCGGCCUGUUGGCGUUUCUGCAAGGAACUAAAGAACUAUGUGGUACCAAGCUCUUUGGCACCGCGAAUACCCCACUUCUGCUUGCUUGGGUGGAGCGCUUCACUACGCUGGACGCUGCCAAGGCGGCUCUUCCGGACGCCAAUAAAUUGGUUGUGUUUGCAAGGACAAGGCGGGCCCGGAUUGCUGCUACUAUAAAUGUAUCUGUCAAGAACUGA
rnacentral:rRNA from 1 species